rnacentral:ncRNA from 1 species
AGUAAUUAAAAACGAAAUGCAUAUAUAAACGCCAUAAUAAGGAUGGCGAGUUUCUACCCAGAACCGUAAAUUCUGGACUAUACGCAAUAAACUCAUCAAA